UACGUAGGGUGCGAGCGUUGUCCGGAAUUAUUGGGCGUAAGGAGCUCGUAGGCGGUUUGUUGCGUCGGCUGUGAAAUCCCGAGGCUCAACCUCGGGUCUGCAGUCGAUACGAGCAAACUAGAGUGUUGCAGGGGAGACUGGAAUUCCUGGUGUAGCGGUGAAAUGCGCAGAUAUCAGGAGGAACACCGGUGGCGAAGGCGGGUCUCUGGGCAACAACUGACGCUGAGGCACGAAGGUCAGGGGAGCAAACGGG
rnacentral:rRNA from 1 species